rnacentral:misc_RNA from 1 species
UGGUUCUGGCAUCGAUGAAGAACGCAGCAAAAUGCGAUAAGUAAUGCGAAUUGCAGAAUUCCGUGAGUCAUCGAAUCUUUGAACGCACAUUGCGCCCUUUGGUAUUCCGAAGGGCAUGCCUGUUCGAGCGUCAUUAUCACCCCUCAAGCCUGGCUUGUUGUUGGACCCGGUGGCUAUUUAGGCCAACCGGUCCGAAAGAUAAUGACGGUGAUUGUUAUGCCCUCGGUACAACGAGCUUUUUCCAAGGCACGUAUCGUGGUGGUAUUUCGAUCCCGGCCUUUACUUUUAUACUUCUAAGGUUGACCUCGGAUCAGGUAGGGAUACCCGCUGA